GGGUUGUGAGGUUAAGCGACUAAGCGUACACGGUGGAUGCCCUGGCAGUCAGAGGCGAUGAAGGACGUGCUAAUCUGCGAAAAGCGUCGGUAAGGUGAUAUGAACCGUUACAGCCGGCGAUGUCCGAAUGGGGAAACCCAGUGCAAUUCGUUGCACUAUCGUUAACUGAAUACAUAGGUUAACGAGGCGAACCGGGGGAACUGAAACAUCUAAGUACCCCGAGGAAAAGAAAUCAACCGAGAUUCCCCCAGUAGCGGCGAGCGAACGGGGAGCAGCCCAGAGUCUGAAUCAGCUUGUGUGUUAGUGGAACGGUCUGGAAAGUCCGACGGUACAGGGUGAUAGUCCCGUACACCAAAAUGCACAGGCUGUGAACUCGAAGAGUAGGGCGGGACACGUGGUAUCCUGUCUGAAUAUGGGGGACCAUCCUCCAAGGCUAAAUACUCCUGACUGACCGAUAGUGAACCAGUACCGUGAGGGAAAGGCGAAAAGAACCCCGGCGAGGGGAGUGAAAAAGAACCUGAAACCGUGUACGUACAAGCAGUGGGAGCACCUUCGGGUGUGACUGCGUACCUUUUGUAUAAUGGGUCAGCGACUUAUAUUCUGUAGCAAGGUUAACCGUAUAGGGGAGCCGCAGGGAAACCGAGUCUUAACUGGGCGUUAAGUUGCAGGGUAUAGACCCGAAACCCGGUGAUCUAGCCAUGGGCAGGUUGAAGGUUGGGUAACACUAACUGGAGGACCGAACCGACUAAUGUUGAAAAAUUAGCGGAUGACUUGUGGCUGGGGGUGAAAGGCCAAUCAAACCGGGAGAUAGCUGGUUCUCCCCGAAAGCUAUUUAGGUAGCGCCUCGUGAAUUCAUCUUCGGGGGUAGAGCACUGUUUCGGCUAGGGGGUCAUCCCGACUUACCAACCCGAUGCAAACUACGAAUACCGAAGAAUGUUAUCACGGGAGACACACGGCGGGUGCUAACGUCCGUCGUGAAGAGGGAAACAACCCAGACCGCCAGCUAAGGUCCCAAAGUCAUGGUUAAGUGGGAAACGAUGUGGGAAGGCACAGACAGCCAGGAUGUUGGCUUAGAAGCAGCCAUCAUUUAAAGAAAGCGUAAUAGCUCACUGGUCGAGUCGGCCUGCGCGGAAGAUGUAACGGGGCUAAACCAUGCACCGAAGCUGCGGCAGCGACACUAUGUGUUGUUGGGUAGGGGAGCGUUCUGUAAGCCUGCGAAGGUGACCUGUGAGGGUUGCUGGAGGUAUCAGAAGUGCGAAUGCUGACAUAAGUAACGAUAAAGCGGGUGAAAAGCCCGCUCGCCGGAAGACCAAGGGUUCCUGUCCAACGUUAAUCGGGGCAGGGUGAGUCGACCCCUAAGGCGAGGCCGAAAGGCGUAGUCGAUGGGAAACAGGUUAAUAUUCCUGUACUUGGUGUUACUGCGAAGGGGGACGGAGAAGGCUAUGUUAGCCGGGCGACGGUUGUCCCGGUUUAAGCAUGUAGGCUGAUUGUCCAGGCAAAUCCGGAUAAUCAAGGCUGAGGUGUGAUGACGAGGCACUACGGUGCUGAAGUAACAAAUGCCCUGCUUCCAGGAAAAGCCUCUAAGCAUCAGGUAACAUCAAAUCGUACCCCAAACCGACACAGGUGGUCAGGUAGAGAAUACCAAGGCGCUUGAGAGAACUCGGGUGAAGGAACUAGGCAAAAUGGUGCCGUAACUUCGGGAGAAGGCACGCUGGUGUGUAGGUGAAGUCCCUGCGGAUGGAGCUGAGACCAGUCGAAGAUACCAGCUGGCUGCAACUGUUUAUUAAAAACACAGCACUGUGCAAACACGAAAGUGGACGUAUACGGUGUGACGCCUGCCCGGUGCCGGAAGGUUAAUUGAUGGGGUUAUCCGUAAGGAGAAGCUCUUGAUCGAAGCCCCGGUAAACGGCGGCCGUAACUAUAACGGUCCUAAGGUAGCGAAAUUCCUUGUCGGGUAAGUUCCGACCUGCACGAAUGGCGUAAUGAUGGCCAGGCUGUCUCCACCCGAGACUCAGUGAAAUUGAACUCGCUGUGAAGAUGCAGUGUACCCGCGGCAAGACGGAAAGACCCCGUGAACCUUUACUAUAGCUUGACACUGAACAUUGAGCCUUGAUGUGUAGGAUAGGUGGGAGGCUUUGAAGCGUGGACGCCAGUCUGCGUGGAGCCAACCUUGAAAUACCACCCUUUAAUGUUUGAUGUUCUAACGUUGGCCCCUUACCGGGGUUGCGGACAGUGUCUGGUGGGUAGUUUGACUGGGGCGGUCUCCUCCCAAAGCGUAACGGAGGAGCACGAAGGUUAGCUAAUCCUGGUCGGACAUCAGGAGGUUAGUGCAAUGGCAUAAGCUAGCUUGACUGCGAGCGUGACGGCGCGAGCAGGUGCGAAAGCAGGUCAUAGUGAUCCGGUGGUUCUGAAUGGAAGGGCCAUCGCUCAACGGAUAAAAGGUACUCCGGGAUAACAGGCUGAUACCGCCCAAGAGUUCAUAUCGACGGCGGUGUUUGGCACCUCGAUGUCGGCUCAUCACAUCCUGGGGCUGAAGUAGGUCCCAAGGGUAUGGCUGUUCGCCAUUUAAAGUGGUACGCGAGCUGGGUUUAGAACGUCGUGAGACAGUUCGGUCCCUAUCUGCCGUGGGCGCUGGAGAAUUGAGGGGGGCUGCUCCUAGUACGAGAGGACCGGAGUGGACGCAUCACUGGUGUUCGGGUUGUCAUGCCAAUGGCACUGCCCGGUAGCUAAAUGCGGAAGAGAUAAGUGCUGAAAGCAUCUAAGCACGAAACUUGCCCCGAGAUGAGUUCUCCCUGAGACUUUAAGUCUCCUGAAGGAACGUUAAAGACGAUGACGUUGAUAGGCCGGGUGUGUAAGCGCAGCGAUGCGUUGAGCUAACCGGUACUAAUGAACCGUGAGGCUUAACCUUACAACGCCGAAG
rnacentral:rRNA from 1 species